rnacentral:rRNA from 1 species
CAGUAGCCACGGUAAUACGAAGGGUGCAAGCGUUACUCGGAAUUACUGGGCGUAAAGCGUGCGUAGGUGGUGGUUUAAGUCCGUUGUGAAAGCCCUGGGCUCAACCUGGGAAUUGCAGUGGAUACUGGGUCACUAGAGUGUGGUAGAGGAUAGUGGAAUUUCCGGUGUAGCAGUGAAAUGCGUAGAGAUCGGAAGGAACAUCUGUGGCGAAGGCGACUAUCUGGGCCAACACUGACACUGAGGCACGAAAGCGUGGGGAGCAAACAGGAUUAGAGACCCGAGUAGUCCCUGUCUCUUAUAC